UCCUACCAGGUUCCUCCCUUGACACAGGAGA
rnacentral:piRNA from 1 species